AGGUUAAGUUAACAAGGGCGCAUGGUGAAUGCCUUGGCACUAGGAGCCGAUGAAGGACGGGACUAACACCGAUAUGCUUCGGGGAGCUGUACGUAAGCUAUGAUCCGGAGAUUUCCGAAUGGGGCAACCCAGCAGUUUUAAUCAACUGUUACCACUAGAUGAAUUCAUAGUCUAGUUGGAGGUAAACGCUGUGAACUGAAACAUCUCAUUAGCAGCAGGAAUAUAAAGAAAUUUCGAUUCCCUAAGUAGCGGCGAGCGAACGGGGAACAGCCCAAACCAAAGUGCUUGCACUUUGGGGUUGUAGGACUGAACAUUUGAGUUACCAAAGAACUUGAUAGUCGAAGGAUUUGGGAAAAUCCGCCAUAGAUGGUGAUAGCCCAGUAGAUUAAAUCAAAUUCUCUCAGUUCAGGAUCCUGAGUACGGCGGAACACGUGAAAUUUCGUCGGAAUCCGGGAGGACCAUCUCCCAAGGCUAAAUACUACCUAGUGACCGAUAGUGAACCAGUACCGUGAGGGAAAGGUGAAAAGCACCCCGGGAGGGGAGUGAAAUAGUUCCUGAAACCAUGUGCCUACAAUAAGUCAGAGCGCGUUAAUGCGUGAUGGCGUGCCUUUUGUAGAAUGAACCGGCGAGUUAUGAUCCCGUGCAAGGUUAAGACUAAAAAGUCGGAGCCGUAGCGAAAGCGAGUCUGAAAUGGGCGUUUUGAGUACGAGGUUAUAGACCCGAAACCAGGUGACCUAUCCAUGUCCAGGUUGAAGGUGCGGUAAAACGCACUGGAGGACCGAACCCGUGUAAGUUGAAAAUUGCUGGGAUGAGGUGUGGAUAGCGGUGAAAUUCCAAACGAACUUGGAGAUAGCUGGUUCUCUCCGAAAUAGCUUUAGGGCUAGCCUCGGAAUUAGGAUCAUGGAGGUAGAGCACUAUUUGGACUAGGGGCCCGUCUUGGGUUACUGAAUUCAGAUAAACUCCGAAUGCCAUUGAUUCAUAUCCGGGAGUCAGACGAUGAGUGAUAAGAUCCACCGUCGAAAGGGGAACAGCCCAGACCAUCAGUUAAGGUCCCUAAAUGUAUGCUAAGUGGAAAAGGAUGUGGAGUUGCAUAGACAACUAGGAUGUUGGCUCAGAAGCAGCCACCAUUUAAAGAGUGCGUAAUAGCUCACUAGUCGAGUGAUCCUGCGCCGAAAAUGUACCGGGGCUAAGCAUACUACCGAAACCAUGGAUGCGACCAUUAGGUCGCGUGAUAGGAGAGCGUUCUAAGGGCGGUGAAGCAAGAUCGUGAGGACUUGUGGAGCGCUUAGAAGUGAGAAUGCCGGUAUGAGUAGCGAAAGAUAGGUGAGAAUCCUAUCCACCGAAUGACUAAGGUUUCCUGGGGAAGGCUCGUCCUCCCAGGGUUAGUCGGGACCUAAGUCGAGGCCGAGAGGCGUAGACGAUGGAUAACAGGUUGAGAUUCCUGUACUAGUUAAGUGCGUUUGAGCAAUGGAGGGACGCAGGAGGCUAAGAUGUGCAUUCUGUUGGAUUAGAAUGUCCAAGCAGUAAGUCUUGUGAAGAGUCAAAUGCUUUUCACUUUAAGGACAAGCUGUGAUGGGGAGCGAAAUUUAGUAGCGAAGCGUCUGAUGUCACACUGCCGAGAAAAGCUUCUAGUGAGUACUUAACUACCCGUACCGCAAACCGACACAGGUAGUCGAGGAGAGAAUCCUAAGGUGAGCGAGUGAACUCUCGUUAAGGAACUCGGCAAAAUGACCCCGUAACUUCGGGAGAAGGGGUGCUGAUCGCAAGAUCAGCCGCAGUGAAUAGGCCCAGGCGACUGUUUAUCAAAAACACAGGUCUCUGCAAAAUCGUAAGAUGACGUAUAGGGGCUGACGCCUGCCCGGUGCUGGAAGGUUAAAAGGAUGGGUUAGCUUCGGCGAAGCUCAGAAUUGAAGCCCCAGUAAACGGCGGCCGUAACUAUAACGGUCCUAAGGUAGCGAAAUUCCUUGUCGGGUAAGUUCCGACCCGCACGAAAGGCGUAACGAUCUGGGCACUGUCUCAACGAGAGACUCGGUGAAAUUAUAUUGUCCGUGAAGAUGCGGACUACCCGCGACAGGACGGAAAGACCCCAUGGAGCUUUACUGUAGCUUGAUAUUGAGUGUUUGUACAGCUUGUACAGGAUAGGUAGGAGCCAUAGAAACCGGAACGCUAGUUUCGGUGGAGGCGUUGGUGGGAUACUACCCUCGCUGUAUGACCACUCUAACCCGCACCACUAAUCGUGGUGGGAGACAGUGUCAGGUGGGCAGUUUGACUGGGGCGGUCGCCUCCUAAAAAGUAACGGAGGCGCCCAAAGGUUCCCUCAGAAUGGUUGGAAAUCAUUCGCAGAGUGUAAAGGCACAAGGGAGCUUGACUGCGAGACAGACAGGUCGAGCAGGGACGAAAGUCGGGCUUAGUGAUCCGGUGGUACCGUAUGGAAGGGCCAUCGCUCAACGGAUAAAAGCUACCCUGGGGAUAACAGGCUUAUCUCCCCCAAGAGUCCACAUCGACGGGGAGGUUUGGCACCUCGAUGUCGGCUCAUCGCAUCCUGGGGCUGUAGUCGGUCCCAAGGGUUGGGCUGUUCGCCCAUUAAAGCGGUACGCGAGCUGGGUUCAGAACGUCGUGAGACAGUUCGGUCCCUAUCCGUCGCGGGCGUAGGAAAUUUGAGAGGACCUGUCCUUAGUACGAGAGGACCGGGAUGGACAUACCUCUGGUGUACCAGUUGUGCCGCCAGGCGCAUCGCUGGGUAGCUACGUAUGGAUGUGAUAAACGCUGAAAGCAUCUAAGUGUGAAACACACCUCGAGAUGAGAUUUCCCAUUCCUUUAUGGAAGUAAGACCCCUGAAAGAUGAUCAGGUAGAUAGGUUAGAAGUGGCAGUGCGGUGACGCAUGAAGCGGACUAAUACUAAUCGGUCGAGGACUUAACCAAG
rnacentral:rRNA from 1 species